CCCUUAGAUGUUCUGGGCCGCACGCGCGCUACACUGUUCGACGCAGCGAGUCUUAACCUUGACCGAAAGGUUUGGGUAAUCUUCAGCAAAGUCGAACGUGAUGGGGAUCGAUCAUUGCAAUUAUUGAUCGUGAACGAGGAAUUCCUAGUAAGUGCAAGUCAUCAGCUUGCGCUGAUUACGUCCCUGCCCUUUGUACACACCGCCCGUCGCUACUACCGAUUGAAUGGUUUAGUGAGAUCUCUGGAUUGACGCUGGCUAGGGGGCGACCCUUGGCCAGACUGGUGAGAAACUGCUCAAACUUGAUCAUUUAGAGGAAGUAAAAGUCGUAACA
rnacentral:rRNA from 1 species